AAUCCUACGGGGGCAGCAGUGAGGGAUAUUGGUCAAUGGGGGAAACCCUGAACCAGCAACGCCGCGUGAGGGAAGACGGUUUUCGGAUUGUAAACCUCUGUCCUCUGUGAAGAUAAUGACGGUAGCAGAGGAGGAAGCUCCGGCUAACUACGUGCCAGCAGCCGCGGUAAUACGUAGGGAGCAAGCGUUGUCCGGAUUUACUGGGUGUAAAGGGUGCGUAGGCGGGCUUGCAAGUCAGAAGUGAAAUCUAUGGGCUUAACCCAUAAACUGCUUUUGAAACUGUCAAACUAGAGUACGGGAGAGGU
rnacentral:rRNA from 1 species